rnacentral:rRNA from 1 species
AGUUGUUGCAGUUAAAAAGCUCGUAGUUGGAUGUCUGUUGGAAGCAAUCAUCAGUCCGCCCUAUUUGAUUAGGGUGUGAAUAUGAUGAAUUCCGGCAUAAUUGUCUCCCUAUUGUUAAUAUUCUGAUUGUUAGAUUCAUUUCUAACAAUAAUACGAUUAUUAAUAAUAAGGGGGAAAUGUUACUUUGAGAAAAUUAGAGUGUUUGAAGCAGGCUUUU